rnacentral:rRNA from 1 species
AGUUACCGCUCUAUAACCCUUUGUGAACAUACCUAUAACUGUUGCUUCGGCGGGUAGGGUCUCCGUGACCCUCCCGGCCUCCCGCCCCCGGGCGGGUCGGCGCCCGCCGGAGGAUAACCAAACUCUGAUUUAACGACGUUUCUUCUGAGUGGUACAAGCAAAUAAUCAAAACUUUUAACAACGGAUCUCUUGGUUCUGGCAUCGAUGAAGAACGCAGCGAAAUGCGAUAAGUAAUGUGAAUUGCAGAAUUCAGUGAAUCAUCGAAUCUUUGAACGCACAUUGCGCCCGCCAGCAUUCUGGCGGGCAUGCCUGUUCGAGCGUCAUUUCAACCCUCAAGCUCUGCUUGGUGUUGGGGCCCUACAGCCGAUGUAGGCCCUCAAAGGUAGUGGCGGACCCUCCCGGAGCCUCCUUUGCGUAGUAACUUUACGUCUCGCACUGGGAUCCGGAGGGACUCUUGCCGUAAAACCCCCAAUUUUCCAAAGGUUGACCUCGGAUCAGGUAGGAAUACCCGCUGAACUUAA